UACGUAGGGGGCCAGCGUUGCUCGGAAUUACUGGGCGUAAAGGGUUCGUAGGUGGUGCGGCAAGUUGGGAGUGAAAUCUCUGGGCUUAACUCAGAGGCUGCUUUCAAAAACUGCCCGCGCUCGAGUGCGAGAGAGGUCAGUGGAAUUGCAGGUGUAGCGGUGAAAUGCGUAGAUAUUCGCAGGAACACCAGUGGCGAAGGCGGCUCACUGGUCCGAUACUGACGCUGAGGUGCGAAAGCGUGGGGAGCAAACAGG
rnacentral:rRNA from 1 species